AUGUCCCAUGAUCAGCUACUACACGAAGAACAGUCAUGUCCAGUGACCAGAACCAGAGUACGUGUCGUCCCUGAUCACUGCUCGUGGUUUGGUUGUGCCGAUCUGGCUGACGGUUCACCAACCGUGCAUGAAGAUGGACAGAUGGUGGUCGCUCAUGAGGUGUUCGACGGAAUGCGGGACUGGGAUGUGUAUUAUUUCAGGACAUGCUUAAUCAUAUUGGCAUGUGGCCAUUUGCUGAUGGGGGGUAUAGAAUCAGAGCAGGGAAGAAGAAAGGACAGCCAUUGGUCGCCGUGGCAACCGGUAAGAAAGGCGAGAACAGAAGAUGGGAAGGGUAAGAGGAAGAAGAAGAGAAUGACAGGUUUUCUUACGAGACAACUGAACUGA
rnacentral:rRNA from 1 species